rnacentral:rRNA from 1 species
GACGUAGGGCGCGAGCGUUGUCCGGAAUUACUGGGCGUAAAGGGCGCGUAGGCGGCCUGUUAAGUCGAACGUGAAAUCCCUGGGCUCAACCCAGGAACUGCGUCCGAUACUGGCAGGCUUGAAUUCGGGAGAGGGAUGUGGAAUUCCAGGUGUAGCGGUGAAAUGCGUAGAUAUCUGGAGGAACACCGGUGGCGAAGGCGGCAUCCUGGACCGAUAUUGACGCUGAGGCGCGAAAGCCAGGGGAGCAAACAGG